CAAGCCUCACUAUUUCUUCUU
rnacentral:siRNA from 1 species